AUAUGCUAUGCAAUGAGCAAACAUUAAUAGAAGAUACCCCUUAGCCAACAUGUAACUAUCUACCUGUAGCAUUCCUUGUGCUAAUACUAUUGCAGAACAUGCUUUAUUCUUACAUGCAUAGCAUAAGUUCCCCUCACAAAGUCUAAUGUCACCACUCUUUUGCAGGUCACUUAACACAUGGACCCCAGCCGAGCAACGCCAUUUGGAUCAGUGUCUUCCAAGGAACAUCAUUUGCCCAAAAAAUAAUCUUCCAUACAUGUCCAUUGCAGUCAGCCAGAUGCUCAUAGCUUACAAGAGCACCUUGGAAAACAGUGAGACUUUGAAACAGCCAGCACCUACUGCACAAAUACCAACAACGAAGUGCCAUGUCGAUCAGCUCAAAGGAAAAGACAACCCUUGUAGCACCCUCGCUACACAAGCAAGUCAUACCAAACAAAGGAGCUCUACCAAGGUCGAAUACAAUAAGCAAAAUAGCACUCCUUCACACGAGCACAUACGAAAACGAUGCCUCACCAACAUGGAAACCAGUGCACCGGAUGCCACCUCUCCACAACAACACACAAUAAAACAGCAAAUUAGCAACAUUGAACAACAAAACUUCGCCCCUAUCAAAAUGCAGCCGCACAAAAGUGAACAUAAAAAAGGUCAACAGAUGGAUUCUUUCAAGCAGCACAAUCUCAAUGCACAUUCCACCAAACAACAAAACCCCAAUCUAGAGCCACAUACAAGCAAGAGCCAACUCCAACCUCUGAGACAACAAACAACACCAUCUUCCAGACAUGCUCCACAAACUAGCCAUUCAAGCCACAGGUUCUCAUCUCCACCAUGUACACAGAAUUGUGUGCAACUUUGCAACAACUCUUCUCAACAGUAGAUAUGCCUUUUAUACUGUUCAAAAAUAUCGUGCGUAAUGGUCCCCAAGGAACCUAGUCAUUCCACCCAUCACAGUCUACUUUCAUUGAAGAGCUUAAUGACCAGUGCACAAAAGCACAUUUGGAGACACUUGCCAAAUGUAAUAUCCAGGUUGUCGGUGUCCUCAAAGCAAAGAAUGCCUACUUUCCACCCUAUGAAAUAUCUUGCUCAACGUGCCACCACUCCCUACCAUUUGAUGCUACAAUUGACAUGGACUUUGUCCAUUGCACGUAUUGCAACGCCGACACACAAACCUCUUGCCACCAUAACAUACUUUGCACAUUGAAUACACAAGAAGGCAACAUCGACUGCUCCUUGCAAGGAGACAUACUUCAACAAACUUACCCAGAUAUCAUAGAUAUAACAUACGACCAAUACCAACAGGACAUCUCGCCAAGGGUCUUUAUGUUUUGGAGGCUCCACGUCUAUGGCACUUUCACAUUAGCUGUGAACAACACCAUUAUUGAUAUUGUCAAGCAAUAGGAAUUUUGAUCCAAUUGGGUUUUAACACUGUCCAUGUUAAUGAAUAUUGCAAACUUGAAAAAAACUUCGCCCUUUAAAGCUUGUAAAUCUUAUUACUUUUUUGGGUGGCAAUGGCCCUACAAACUCUGAUACUGUCUGACUAUCACAAACUCUGCUACUGUGUUAAUAUAAUGUGGCUUAUACUGUGAAAAAAAUAUGAAUAUAAUGUUAUCAUCAUGUGCAGGUCACUGUAGAUUUUUUACCUUGUUAAUAUUUUCCAGUAGACAUUUAUAUUGUCCUUGGAAAAGCACUUUUACCUUACCUUGGAAGCCUGAACAGUAGCCAACUGUGACUUGUAACAAUUCAUGCACAUAUAAUUUCACAGGUGCACUAUAUAAUCAGAAAAUUUGUGCUGAUAAAUAUAUUCCCUAUAAACGUUUUCCAACUAUUUUUUGUACCUCUGAAUCUGAUUAACCCCUUUUGCAGGCAAGGUCAGGGUUCUCAUCCUAACUGAUCUGUAAAAAUAACAGUAUUUACAAAUUUGUGUUUUUUUAUAAUAACCUUUUUAACAAAUUUGUCUAUUUUUUGGCUAUAUUACAAUAGAAUUUGGCAUUUAUUUCAGAUAUUUAGGAUUUGGAAACCAAUUUUGACUCGCUAUUUAAAUAAUAGAUUACUUUCAGAUAUGCAGGAUAUGCGAACAAAUUUUGUUUAUACGUCUAAAAUUUAUAAGAUCAUUUAUAGAUGUUUACUACUUUUUCAUGACUUGUUUAACUGUGGAUAUCGCAUAUUUUACUUCAUGAAACAAGGCAUGUUCAUUUUGAUUCCUUUUAUAGUACUUUCGGAGUAUAUCAUACUUCCCAUUUUAAACUUAAUUUGUUUGUGCAAGUGGACCCUAACGAUAUUGUUUUUGGGGGUUGGGACGUUAGCAACCUAAAUUUGGCAGAUGCCAUGGCCCGAGCCAAGGUACUCGACAUUGACCUCCAGAAGCAGCUGCGACCUUACAUGCAAGACAUGCUGCCUCUUCCUGGCGUCUUUGACCCCGAUUUUGUAGCUGCAAACCAAGG